CCUUCGAUAGCUCAGUUGGUAGAGCGGGGGACUGUAGAUUUAUAAUUGUGAUCCCUAGAUGCUGGGUCGAAUCCGGCUCGAAGAA
rnacentral:tRNA from 1 species